UACGUAGGGUGCGAGCGUUGUCCGGAAUUAUUGGGCGUAAAGAGCUCGUAGGCGGUCUGUCGCGUCGAAUGUGAAAACCCGGGGCUCAACUCCGGGCUUGCAUUCGAUACGGGCAGGCUAGAGUUCGGUAGGGGAGUCUGGAAUUCCUGGUGUAGCGGUGAAAUGCGCAGAUAUCAGGAGGAACACCGGUGGCGAAGGCGGGACUCUGGGCCGAUACUGACGCUGAGGAGCGAAAGCGUGGGUAGCAAACAGG
rnacentral:rRNA from 1 species